GUGGCUUAAACUCAAUGAGUAAGGAAACUAACUCUCUACCUGACAAGUAGAGAUCCCAACGGCAUUUUGCCUUGGCAAUUUAUGUGGGACACGGAAUGGUCAGCGCAGAUGUCCUCUACUUUGGGACACCUAGUGCUAGCUGGUCCCCUC
rnacentral:snRNA from 1 species